rnacentral:rRNA from 1 species
UACGGAGGGUGCAAGCGUUGCUCGGAAUCACUGGGCGUAAAGGGCGUGUAGGCGGCUUCGUGUGUCUGACGUGAAAGCCCCGGGCUCACCCCGGGAAGUGCGCUGGAAACUGCGGAGGUAGAGUCCCGGAGAGGGUGGUGGAAUUCCAGGUGUAGGGGUGAAAUGCGUAGAUAUCUGGAGGAACAUCGGGGGCGAAGGCGGCUACCUGGAUCGUAACUGACGCUGAGAUGCGAAAGCGUGGGGAGCAAACAGG